rnacentral:misc_RNA from 1 species
GGUCUGAGAGGAGGUAAUGAUUGUAUUAAUUUGUUGAGUCUAGAACCAUUCAUCAAUUGAGAAUAUAUUUAUUUAAGUUAGGAGUAGCAGAAUCUAUUCUGUUAAGCAGUGCAAGAAGAUACUAGUUUUGAUGUUUAUUUGCAUGUAGCACCCCUAGGUUUAUGCUCCAAUUCUACUAGACAAUGUGACAUUUGCUACUUGUGUGCACCCUCCCACAUUUUAUAUCCCAUGUCUUUUCUUUAGUUACACAGCUGACAGUAGUCAUGUUGUGGCAACCAUUAGAGAAGUGCUUGCAUUGUGGGAUUCAUCUGGGAAGGAGGUGAUGAGCAGGUUGGCAUUAUGUAGAAUUACCUUAGUCUAUAGGUAGUGAUGCCAGAUAUUUUGUUGUUUUCUAUGGUUAGAUGUAAUAAUUGAGAUAUGAGUGGAUAUUUCAGUCAUUGUCAAUGGACUUCUGGUGAAUGAUAUUGUUCAUCUGUAAGAGAUUGAAUUUAUCUUGACCAAAGUAGUCAUUCUCCUUUUUGUAUGGACUUGUGAUGCCACCUCUGUGUCUGCUAUCUGGUUUGAUUAUGCUUGUCAUUUGGCUAUAUAGUCUGUCUUAAUAUUUUGAAGUAAGAAUUUCCUUCCCUUACAUAGCUUUUCAUUCCAUUCCAUUGUAUUAUCUCAGUCUUCAGUGAAUCAUCAACUAAAUGCAUGCAUAUGUGCCGGGGUGUGUUUGUAUACUUGGUAAAAUAAACCUAAAAUUAGACAUGGAAAGAACACAUGAUGAACUUUUCUAUGUAUUUUGAGGGAUGCAUGAAAUUACAUCAUGUAUUAGAAUAUAUAGAACCGUAAAGCUAUGUGUAUAACUUUGAUGCUCAACAACAUAUACAAUAUGUGUGCAUUGGUAAGUCCAUGAUCUGCUUAGUACUGCCAUAUACAUUUACCUAAAUAUAUUAUAAUGGAUAUUAUGUUUUAAUAACUUUUGUUUACUGUAUGAAGAGUGGGAUAAGUAUGAUAUGGAGCCAAGUUACUCUUCCAUGUAGCUCUUUACCUCAUAUGGUUGCAUUGAAUUAGUAAACUAAAAUAGAAGGCACGACAAGUGUAAAAUUUGCAUUAUGAGUUCUGAUUGUUUGCAACUAUUUUAAGUAACCCCAUCUUUCUUGCAUUCCUUAAUAAGCAUUUCUGUUAGUUAACCAAAGCCAACUUGAAGACUCACAUGC